rnacentral:lncRNA from 1 species
GCCAGCGAGGGUGGGCACGGGGGUGAGCGUGGCAAGGGCAGCAGCACCUGCUUGAGACCAAGCCCGGCGACCUGGCAAGAAUGUCAAUCACAUAUCCAGAAUAUCACCUCCUUGGGCACAGCCAGGGCAUGGUCCAUUGAAAAUGUUCCUGAUUGCUGGAAGCUGACGGCUCACCAUAAAAGCCAAAAUGGGGACCUGUCAAAAAUGUUUUAGCCAAACUAUGGCUUGGCUCAGGAAGAUGCCAAGACCAAAGGCUGCUGAACUUUAAGUAUAAACUUGCAUGAAAAGCACAUUGCAGAUCUGAGACAGUGGAGGCUUAGUGGUGAGAACAUGAGCUCUGGAUAGACCUGGCUUCAAGUCUUGGCUCUGUCAUUCACCAGCUGUGUGAAUUUGGGCAAACCACUUUUCUUCUCUGAUGCUCAGUUCCCUCACCUAGCAAAAUGGGUUAUAAUGAUGGCAUCAACUCAUAAGGUUCAUGAGGACUGAGCUAGAUAAUGCAAACAACAUGUUUCAUAUACAAUAAUAAAUAAAAAUGUUGGCUG